UUUUUUUUGAGACAGGGUCUCGCUAAGUUGCUUAGGGCCUCAUUAGGUUGCUGAGGCUGGCUGUGAACUUGCAAUCCUCCCGCCUCCGCCUCCCAAGUGGCUGGCAUCAUGGGUCCAUUCUGAUUGAAAGUCAAAGUCAUCGAGGGUGGAUCUCAAGCUUGGCAGCACGUUAGAGUGACCUGGGAAUUUAUAUGAAAUACCCACCUGUGCUCGGACUUCACCUCUAUCAAAUGAAUCAGACCCUUAGGAUGGAGACCGGACACGGACCAGUGAACGCUCCCGGGUAGUCCCCGGGUGCAGCGGUGGGUGCGAAGCCCGGACUCGGAUGCUCGUUCAGACUGACCCUGCUCGGCCCACGGGGUAGAUGACUUUCUCCUUCAAAUAACCUGCAAGACCCAUGUCACCAUCUUGGUAUUAGAAGAAACCAAGGCUCGGAGAUAAGGGAUUGCCCGGGUCGUGCGGCCGACGUGGCAGCCCCCAGUCCAGGGCCGCAGAGCCCGGUCCAGGGCCGGCCGCCAUCCAAAGCUGCUCCCCGACCUGGGCCCUUCGACGCCAUCCGCCUUCCUGCCCUUGAUUUCCCCGCUCUUCCCCGGGAGGAUGGGAAGCAUCGUGCCCAGGGCCAGGAGGCCCGCGCGCACCCAGCUCGGCAGUCCAGCCGCGGUGCUAGCACCUCCUAGAGGUUUAAUGACAACCCCGCUCUCGAAAACCCUAGGGAGAGGCCUGGUGUGGCCCGCCAGCCCCACUUCGGGUUUCCACCGGGUACACCUCCCAGGGUCCCUUGCGGUUAGCUGUGCUCACGUGACUGAGUUCUGGCCAAUGGGACUGAGCAGAAGUGAUGUCACCAUCUCCAGGCCCCGCCCACUGAAACCUCCCGGAUGAGGAGGCUCCUGUCUUCCCUGCUGCUGUCGCGAUAGGGUAGAGGGGGCUGUUGUGUGAGGGUCCCCGCAUGUACAGUGAGGACUUAGCGCGUGCCACCUCAUGAGCCCCAUAAAAAUGCAAACGCUCCCUCUGUUCUCUGCUCAGGGCUGUGAGGUCAGGGAUGUGCUCAUGGCUGGGCUGGGCCUCGCUGGAAAGGCACAGGGAGUGGGCCGUGGUUGGGAGCUGGGGUGGACAGACCUACGUCCAAACCUGCUCUGCCACUCAGGGCUCUGUGACCUUGAGCAAGUUAACCUUUUUGGCUUUUUUCUUCUUAAAAAAUGACCAAUUUUGCAUAAGAAGAGUAGAAAAACUAAGAGGAUUCUCUAUAAAAGAGUGUUUCUUAAAGUGUGGUCCGCAGACCAGACCAGCCUUCCCUGGGAACUUGUGGAAAAUGCAGAUUCUUGGGCGCAUCCAAACCUGGGAUUGGGCUUUUCCAUCUGCCCACUGGUGAAAGGACUUCUGGGGAAGUGCCCGGCAGGCCAUUGUGCUUGUUAUGUGACAAGCCCUCCUGGAAAGGUAUAGUUUGACAGUCGUGCACUGACCCUGAAGAAUGAGUAAUUGUUGCGAUCCUUGAGACUAAAACCCUCAGGGUCACUCCAGGGGAACUGGGCUGCACGAAAUAACCAUAAAGAGACAGAGAGACCUUUUUCUUAAGGGUCCUGUGACGGUUCCUCCGACCUUAAGGGUCUGCAGAGAGAGAGAGAGACAGAGCACACACAUACUAAACCUUUUUACUAGGGAGAAGCCAUUCAAAUGAGGCAAGGGGUCAGGUUUCAGGGGUUGAGUCUAGCUUCAUGAUGUCUACUGUCAGCAGGUUGACUGACAUCUAGGGAGGCCACACCCAAGGGCAGAACAAGAGAAGGGGACAUACAAAGGGUAUUUCCAUGGAACAUUCUACUCCAAACAGGGCAAAGGGGUAAUAUCACAAAGGAACAGGUGAGCGUAGCUCAAUCCAUGGGGCCACACGCCUACGUCUGAAGAUGUGUUCUCAACCUCCGUGACUAGGGCAAUGUCCAGGUCACUCCAAGAUGUAGUGAUGGUCAGAGCCUCGCCGCUCAGGGAAGGAGAAUGCGAAAUCAUUCAGCCUGGCUGCCACAGUAAUGUAUGGCAACAGCCCUGCACGUUGUUUUAGUCAGCUUUUUCACUGUGGAAUGUAGAGGAGGAAGAGUUAUUUGGGGGCUCCUGGUUUCAGAGGUCUCAAUCCACAGACAGCCGGCUCCAUUCCUCAGGGCUCGAGGUGAGGCAGGACAUCAUGGCGGAGAGUGCUUUGGAGGGAAGUGGGUCACAUGAUGGUCAGGAAGCAGAGACUCCACUCCUCAAUACAAAAAGUAUAUCCUACAGCCACGCCCCCCAGUGCCCCACCUUGAACACUGUUGCAUGUCAAUUUGGGUCAUUCACUCUUCUCUUUAUUGAGCACCUACUAUGUGCCAGUCACUGGGAUAAGUCCUGGGGAGCUACAGCAAUUAGGCAAUGGGGUGGUGUCCAGGCAGCUACCCUCAAGGACCUGGGCUUUCUGUGACCCCCAAGUUUCAGAAGGGGGAGGAGUAAAAAUGGGACAGUGUGUUCCCCCAAAAGAAAAAUCCAUGCACUGAUUCCGUAAAUAGUGAAGCACCUACUGUGGGCCAAGCAAGGUUCCACAGGGAGCAGGACAGAUGAGACCCCCCAUCGCGAAGCUUCCAUGAGACAGAAAAUCAUCCAGGGGGGGAAAAGUUGUGUAUUGUUAGAAAGGCUGCGAGUGCAUUUGAGUAUGGAUUUGAAAGGGGGUGAGGGUGUGAGCAGCACAGGAGAGGGACAGCGGAGGCCCUGAGGAGGGGCCCUGCCUGGCCUGAUCCAGGAGCCGCAGAAACCUUGGGGCAGGAACAGUGAGAGAGCAAGCAGGAGCCAGGACCAGGAGAGAGGAGAGGGGCCCCUGCACCAUGGGGAGGACUUUGGCUUUCACCCUGGGUGACACUGGGACUCAUCAGAGGGCCACCUAGGCAGGGCCCCCUGCCCUCAGCGGCUGCCUCCCUGGGUGCGUCGUGCCCUUAGGUCCCUGGGGACUUGGGAGCGACACGCCCAUUGGCCUCUCUCUGGGCCAGCAGCGCCAGCCUCUCCCGGGUUGUGUGUCGGGGCAGCUGUCCCCUUUACUGCCUUUGGCCGCGGUGCCCCUUCCCAGAUCCAGUCGCCGCCUCCCGCCCCACCAAUCGCAACAGCCAGUCAGUGCCAGCGACACCCCUGCCGCAGUCGCCAAGGGAAGAAUUCAAGGUAAAUGCGCACAGACGGAUGCUGCCGCUUAAAGGACCGAUUCAUCUCGCAAAAUGCCCCACUUACGACUGAAGUGGCACGCCGCAGAGCGGGUGUCUUGGUGGCAUGUUAAUGAAAUCGGGAAAACACUGGUGGAGCUGGCUGGGGGGGGUCCAAAGGAGCCAGUGGACAAGGACAAGGCGGGGACUCCCUGCCUCCAGGACCAAGAGCCUGUCCUCGCACCUGCCCUCCCACGUCUCCUCCACCUGACGAUGACAUCAAAUCAGAUCCACUCAUUCUUAUUCUGUGAGACUCAUAAGCCGUGGGAUAUACUGCGGCCCACUUCAUGGUUUCUAGAAAACUAAGGGCUCACAACUGGACAGUUCUCCCAGCCUUCCUCGCGGUCAGGAAUGUGCUGAGGGGUCAAAAUGGGGACAGAAGUGGCCACUGGGAGGCCUGGCCCAGAAAACCUCCCUUAUGAGGUGGGUGCCCUGGCUCACCUGUCACUCAGAGACUCAGGAGGCUGAGGCAGGAGGAUCGAAAGUUCAAGGCUAGCCUUGGCCAUUGAGUGAGACCUUGUCUCAAAAAAAAAAAAAAAAAAAAAUUUUUUUAAAGGGCUGUGGGGCUGGGGCUGGCGCUGGGGCUCAGGAGUGGCACACUUGCCUGGCAUGUGUGAGGCACUGGGUUGGAUUCUCAGCACCACAUAUAAAUAAAUAAAGGUCUAUCAACAACUAAAAAAAUAUAUAUAUAUGUAUAUGUAUAUUAAAAAAUAAUAAUAAAAGGGGCUGGGGAUGUAGCUCAGUGGUAGAUUAUCCCUGGAUUCAAUCCCUAAUACCACAAAAAUUGAUUAAUUAAUUAAUUAUUAAAUAAUAAAUAAAAUUUAGCUGAGCAACUACAAAGUUAAGACUACUUGCUCUUUUGAUCCCAAAAAGGAGUCUCUAAUAAAAAGUUAAUUACAUUGCAUCUUAAAAUACCAGCUCAUCUCAAAAUAGGCCAGCCUUAGAGAACUCAAACCACACAUGCACACACACACACUUCAUAAAGGUUAAAAGCAUUCCAUCAAAAUAAAGCAUAUGGUCACCCACAUCUGCAUUUAUUACGUCUAAUUGGAAGAGACAUAGUCAAGUACACGAAUAUUUUAGCAGUUUCCAACCUGCAAAUCACCGAGCCAAGACCCAAUUGCUUGCUAAUCAGCACACGCCCAGCUUUGCUACAUCAAGUUGGAACCAUGCCCCACCACUCCCUCGUGGCUGCAGUGUUCCAUGGGCUUUCGUUCUAAGUCCCUUGUCAUUUGUGCAGCCUUUCAAGAGCACCCCAUGCUCAGAAAGAUUUGAAAAGCCCCUUCUCGCCAGGUUUAUGCCCUUGAUUGAUGUCUGUGGGACACUAUGGGCAACCGCACGUUGUUGGGCCAUAAAAUCAAAUUGAAAAUCUGAAUCUCUUGAUGUAACCUCUGACUGAUCAGCUUUAAUAAAGAGAUUUUGGUGAUUGUUGUUUAACCCACUGAAUGCACGGUGAACACACGGGAAUGAGAAGGGAUUUAUUUUCUGAGCAAUUCUGAAGAAGUCCAGAGUUCUCCUACAGAGAGUAAGAUGAGAACAGGAUGAUAGUUAUUUUCCAAAAUAUUGGUCAUGUGGGUCUUUAUGCUCAGUAUUUCCACCAUGUCAGAAUAU
rnacentral:lncRNA from 1 species